rnacentral:misc_RNA from 1 species
AGGAACACAAUACUGCUUGAAAACAGUAUUAUUUAGCUGUGAUCUUCUGUAAGGUCGAGGUACUUCCCCAGUCGGGCUGCUUCAGAUUGAGCAGAAUAUUUUCUGCUGUACCCUACCUCUAUUAUUUAUUCAUAGGCACAUACUUUCACACUAAUGACUUCAUCAAGCAAACUGCGUAUAACGUAAAUAUAUUUCUGCAAUAGGUCUUGGUGUUCAUAAAAUACGCAUUCUGUUUAACCACGGCUUUGUUUGUGCU